CAGUCGCCGCGGGAAUACGUAGGGUGCGAGCGUUAAUCGGAAUUACUGGGCGUAAAGCGGGCGCAGACGGUUACUUAAGCAGGAUGUGAAAUCCCCGGGCUCAACCUGGGAACUGCGUUCUGAGCUGGGUGACUAGAGUGUGUCAGAGGGAGGUAGAAUUCCACGUGUAGCAGUGAAAUGCGUAGAGAUGUGGAGGAAUACCGAUGGCGAAGGCAGCCUCCUGGGAUAACACUGACGUUCAUGCCCGAAAGCGUGGGUAGCAAACAGGAUUAGAUACCCCAGUAGUCCCUGUCUCUUAUAC
rnacentral:rRNA from 1 species